rnacentral:rRNA from 1 species
AAACCUUCACCAGGCCGAGGAGCCGGCAUCAGACACAACCCCUUGUCCACAACGCCUAGUCUCACCACACCCCCAAGGGUUAUCAGCAGUGAUAAAUUUUGAGCAUAAGCGACAGCUUGACUCAGUUAGAGAAAAGAGGGCCGGCCAACCCGGUGCCAGCCGCCGCGGCUACCCCGUGGGGCUCGAGUUGAAGAUCAUCGGCGUUAAGCGUGAUUAAAGUUCUCUUAGAUUAGGGCCAAAUUAAUAUUUAGUUGUUUAAAGCUUAUUAUUAAGAAGAACACAAACGAAAGUUGCCCUAACCCACACACUUGAAUACACGACAGCUGGGGAACAAACUGGGAUUAGAUACCCCACUAUGCCCAGCCGUAAACAAUUAAUCCACAACCACAAGCGCCAGGGAAUUACGAGCCAAGCUUAAAACCCAAAGGAUUUGACGGUGUCCCACCCCCCUAGAGGAGCCUGUUCUAUAAUCGAUGAUCCCCGCUACACCCGACCAUUUCUUGCUUAUAUCAGUCUGUAUACCUCCGUCGAAAGCUUACCAUGUGAACGCCCCCCACAGUAGGUUCAAUGACCCCCGUCAAUACGUCAGGUCAAGGUGCAGCUUAAGAAAUGGGAAGCGAUGGGCUACAAUUUCUAACCUAGAACAAACGAAAGGCUAUGUGAAAUCAUAGUCACGAAGGCGGAUUUAGUAGUAAAAAGAAAAUAGAGUGUUCUUUUUAACCUGGCUCUGGG